GAACGGAGAGAUUCAUCGUCAUUCCGCGGCGCGUCGUGCCUCGUUUCGAUACUGUCCCCCUCGGGGGGCGGUACGGACGGGGUCGACAGCGUCCGUGGACGGCGUGCACUUCUCUCUUAGUAAGACAUCGCGACCCGUUCGAUGUACGUCUACGCCCCGUUCGGGAGCCCGGCGGCACUCGCUGCCGUCGGACCUUGCGGCGGCCGGCCUACUGUCGGACGGUAUAAAGAUUUGAACCGCGCACGCGCCUCGCGCGUCCGGCACGACGCAAUAUGACGCCGUACUACGGUCCUGCCUCGCGGCGGUUCGCGGUACGGUUGCGUAUGUUGUCGCAGCCGUUGUCUCGGACAGUGCGCGUCUCGGUCUGCGAUGAUUCAGUUUCGGGCACUCGCAGGACCCGUCUUGAAACACGGACCAAGGAGUCUAGCAUGUGUGCGAGUCAUUAAGAUUUGAAAACUGAAAGGCGCAACGAAAGUGAAGGUGUGUGCUCGUCACGCGCUCAGGGAGCAUGGGGCGCGAUCUCGGUAGUACUCUCGCACUCC
rnacentral:rRNA from 1 species